rnacentral:misc_RNA from 1 species
UAAAAGAGUGAAAGAAAAAGAAUGGCUGCCCUCUCUUGCAAACAACGACUCAAGUACUCAGUGGUGAAAUGGUCAAGUUAUUCCUACAAUUAUGUCCCAGAAAACAUAUGUCAUGACAAACCGGGCGACCAGACUUCAAGAUGGUCUUCAGAUUCCAACAACCCUCCUCAGUAUUUGGUGCUCAAACUGGAAAGACCUGCAAUUGUGGAAACAGUAUCAUUUGGCAAGUAUGAGAAAACUCAUGUGUGCAAUCUCAAGAAAUUCAAAAUCCAUGGUGGACUCACUGAAGAUCAUAUGAUUGAAAUCCUAGACAGUGGUUUGAAGAAUGAUCACACACCAGAAUGUUUCAGUCUUCGACAUGAAAUAGAUGGCAAUCACUUUCCUUGCAGAUAUAUCAAAAUAGUCCCAAUUCAGGCCUGGGGUCCGAGUUUUAACUUCAGCAUUUGGUAUGUAGAGCUGUACGGCCGUGAUGAUUGGGAUGCUGUGAAACCGUGCAUGAACUGGUACAAUACAUAUCGGGAACGAGAAGCAAUCAGGUUGUGUUUGAAACACUUCCGACAGCGGCGGUACAUCGAGGCUUACGAAGCUCUGCAGAAGAAGACAAAGAUUGCUCUAGAGCACCCAAUACUUACAGAGUUACAUCACUCACUGGUUAUGAAAGGAGACUUUGAUGCUUGUGAAAAAUUAGUUACAAAGGCAUGUGAAGAGGGACUCUUUGACCAGUACAUAAGUCAGCAAGAUUAUAAACCCAAAUGGACAGCAAUUCAGCCAGUCAGCAAAAAUAAUGAUACCAACUCAGUGUUUCGUCCAGGGAUGCGAGGCGGACAUCAGAUGUGUAUAGAUGUACACACAGAAACAAUAUACUUGUUUGGAGGUUGGGAUGGCAAUCAUGACUUAGCGGAUCUCUGGGGUUACAAUGUUCCCACCAGACAGUGGACAUGUGUGUCAAAAAACACGGAGGAAGAGGGUGGUCCAAGUGCCCGAUCGUGUCACAAAAUGUGUCUGGAUCAUGAAAGGAAGCAGAUCUUUACACUGGGGAGAUACUUAGAUGCUUCCAUGAGGUCACAAGACAACUUAAAAUGUGACUUUUACAUGUAUGACGUGGGGUCUGGUCGGUGGACGGAAAUCACGGAAGACACAGCAGCAAUGGGGGGUCCACGUCUUAUUUUUGACCAUCAGAUGGUCAUUGAUGUUGAAAAGCAAACUAUUUAUGUUUUCGGAGGCCGGGUACUUACAAGUGCAAAUGAAAAUGAGCGAGGUCAUGAGCCAGUAUUUAGCGGGUUGUUUGGCUAUCAUAUACCAACAAACACCUGGUCCAGUCUCAUCGAGGACAGUCCAGAACUCAGGUCAAGGAUUGGUCACUCAAUGCUGUUUCAUCCAAUCCGACGAGUACUGUACAUAUUUGCUGGUCAGCGGGCAAGAGAGUAUUUAAAUGACUUCCUAACAUACAGCGUGGACACAGGGUUGGUGGAGACAAUAUCAGAUGGUACAAAGAGGGAUGGCUGUCAAGCAGUUUUGUCUUCCUCAGGUUUCACACAAAGGGCAACACUUGAUCCGGAAUUGAAUGAAAUCCAUGUACUGUCGGGACUCAGUCGAGAUAAGGAGAAACGAGAUAAUGUCAAAAACUCAUUCUGGGUUUAUGACAUUGGGAAAAACAAGUGGUCAUGCAUCUACAAAAAUGAAAACACUGGGCAGCAAUACUGGAUAAAACAGCAGCAUGUCGAACCAGUGCCGAGGUUCGCACAUCAACUGGUGUAUGACCAUGUCAGGAAGGUCCAUUACCUUUUUGGAGGGAAUCCAGGAAAAGACAGCCUACCAAAAAUGAGACUUGACGAUUUUUGGUCUCUGCAACUCUGUCGUCCGUCAGCAGAUCAUCUUCUCCGUCGGUGUCGGUACCUCAUCAGGAAGUACCGUUUUAUGGAGCUGGCUGCAAGUGAUCCGAAGAAUGCCAUGAUCUACCUGCAGAAUGAACUAGCCAACACUGUCGACCAUGCAGAUACCGAGGAGACAAGGGAGUUUCAGCUCCUUGCCUCUUCCUUGUUCAAUGAUGGUACUGAAAACGAAGCAUUGGAAGAUGCCGAUGUGAGUGAACAUUUUCAAAGUCGGACAGAUCUGUUUGAUUUGCUGGUGAACUACUUUCCUGAUCACAUGACACAACCUAAAGGAAAUCUGGUGGACUUGAUACCUCUCGACUAAACUUGGCAUUGAUAGGUUAGACUGAGAGUUGCUCAACAGUGAUCAGUCGCUUCCCCCGCGCAAUACAAUGGGCUUUCAUGUAUAGAUUUGUACUGACACAUAUACUGUUGGAAGAGGUGUGUGUCUGAUGAUGUUUAUGUGUAAUGGUGACUGAGAAGAUGCAAAAAUGUUGAUAAAAUCAGGAAUUGCAGCUGUCACAGUUACUUUCAAGAGUUUUUAGUAGAUCUUGGUGCAGUAUUGUGAACUUAAGGACAGAUCUGGUUAUUUGGAAAGGAAUUCUCUUUAAAGAGUUGGAGCGAUUUUUGUCCCAAUGCUAGGAGUUAAAAGAUUGAUAUGUGUUAUGUUGAAGCAUGUUCAUGUAUUUAUAGGCACAGGUUGUUACUCAAUUCAUCUUUACACAGAUUUGUCAAUUGUUUCUGGUUUUACUACACACUAUCAACAAUGAAAGUAAUAAUGCAUGCUUAGGUAUUUUCAGGAGAGAAUUGCUUGUACAAUGUUAAUGGUGAAAUUCUGAAGUUUUAUAUGCUGGAAUCAUCUGAGCUGAAAAAUCUAUGUUAUUAUUAAUAUUAUUGCAUGAAGAGGAAUACAUUAUUGUAUUGAAUCAGCAUGAGGUUUCGUAUGUUUUAUGUAGUAUUUGAGCAGUGUGGUUAUCUCCCUUUGACCAGCUGGCCUGGAUAGGAUUGAACUUACUGUUGAUAUUAACACACUAGUCAAACUGUGAGGCAGAAUUAUUUCCCAGUACCUGGGGCUGAUUUCAGUAGGCAGAUUUCAGGUACAAGAUGCUGGGAUUUCUGUAAUACUCUGAAACUACAACCAAAAACGCUCUGGGACAUGGAACAAAAUGACUGUAUUCUGUAAACCGUAAUUCUGGGGACAUGUCAUUUGUCGUGUAUGUUGGCUUUGGUUCACCCACACCCACACCUGAAAGUCCAAUAAUAUAUGACUAGACCAGUACCAAAAUAAUGUUCAGAUUUCUAAAAAGAUUAUUUGGAGAAUUUCGUUUCUAAUAUUGCCCCCACAUGCAUGUAUUUGGGAUCCAUUUUGGCAACCCCACAUUGUGACAUUUUGGUGUCUGUUAGAGUUGCGUAGGUUAGGGGUAGGAGGUGGAGUGGAAUGUUCCAAAUAGGUUACAAGCUUUCAAAUAUUAUCAGUCAUUAUCUUCCAGCUUUUAUGAGUGGGAAGAACAUUCUAAAGACAUUUGCUAAAGCAGGGUAAAAUGUACAAGGGUUGUCACAUGUAGAUGCAGGGUUCCAUGUAGAUGGUGUAGUAAGGUGGUUUAUUCCAUGUGAUAUAAAAACCACAUCAUAUUAUUGAAACAAUGUUUAUUUAUGGACGUUAUUUACAAGUAAUGUGUUAUUAAUUUAUUGAUGGGAGAAAAGUGACACUAUAUCAUCACGAUACAGAGCUGAUGCUGCAAGCAAUGUGAAGUGGGAGGGGGAACACAUGUUGUGGAGUUGUCCCUCUUUGGCAUGCAAGGAUCUGCUGAUCAAUGGCUUGAAUUCACCAAGAUUAUGAUCCUGCAUCUUUCAGCAUCAUACAAGUGUUCAUGAGUUUCAAUAAUCUGGUAACCAGUGCAUAUUGGUUUCACCAAAGUGGUAAGUGUCUACAACUUGGUGUUUAUCACCAUGCUUUGUUCCCAGAUCAGUUAGUCAUGCCAUGAUAUACUUGAAAUGCUGCUGAAAGUGGCUUUGCACUGAACACACUUACCAGUGUGGCAGUAGUCUUGGGUUUCCUGUUCUGAGAAACAGGUUUCUUUGAGAGGCAUAUGGAAGCUGGAGUAGUAAGUAAGGAUAAGCUAUAUGGAUGAAUGUAUAUAUUGUAAUGAAGAAGUUGUUCAUCUGUAUAUCUUAUCCUGCUUACACAUUUAGCAAAUUUGUAAUAAUAUGACUGAAUACUCUCCCAAGUAGUGUUGGACCUCGUUAACAUUGUCUGGUCGUACUGUCAUUGACUUCUCAGAUCCUUCAACAAGUGCAUUUAUAAAAGUUAGACCAUCAUCAUCUGUGGUAGACUUCAAUCACUUCAGUGAUAAAAUGGUGACCUUUCUUUGAAAGAGCCUGUUAGCUGUGGUUGAAAAUUGACCUCCAGAAUGGUGCUGUUACAGCUUGUUUAGCUUGACCUGAGCUACUCUACAUAUGCAUGACACGGGAGGCCAAAUGGCAGAAACGGCAGGUCGUGUUAACUUCAUUAAAUAGGGGAGCUUUUUCCUUUCUUGUUCUAUUUGGCUCACGGUUGCAUUGGAAACACCAGUUGCUGCUGCUCCUCGCUGCUUAAAAGCCCGAAUCGGAAACAUUAAUCCAGCUUCUUUUUUAAAGAAAGUUAGGACAUCGCUGACAAUUUCUCAACACUGAGAUGUCAAACGGCGAUCUUGUCUUGGCUGUUUGGACAAGGUGCACCCUUUCACAAUAAUAGACCCAACCAGUUGUGACACGGUCACAGGAUGCAUUAGUAUUCACUUGAUCAGGUCAAGCUGAACAAGCUGUAGGGAUGUGAGAAACUCUCAGGUACUGACUAACGUUUAGGGACAGGGCAAGAGGAUACAUAUGUAGUCAGUAUUUGAUCUACUAAUAUUCGUCAACAAUUAUUUGACAGAUUAUUAAUGAUCUCACAGAUGUCAUCUAACUUUCAAGGGGCAAUAAUUCAUGAAAUAUUGUGUGAUGUUUUAGGUGAAUAACAGCCAUUUACACUGAAAUAAUUUGACCCAGGAAUUGUGGUUGUGUUAGUAGUCAUUAGGCAAUCUUUAUCUAUAGAAAUGUAAUUCGUCUUCUGGCAAACAUUACCUGCAGGUUUUUAAAUGUAGCCAUUAGGUAAGUCAUCUGGGUCAGUGCUUGUGGAUAAUCAUUAUCAUCAGGUCAUGGCAUCUGAAAUUUGUUCUUUUUAUGACAUAGAUGUUCUUUCAUUGAAGAUAUUAUAUUUUUUUUGUUUUAAGGCUGAAUUUUAUCCAUUUUCAGUUUGUGCCCAAAAUGUUUGAGUCUGUUAACAUCAUUUUCAGUUUUUAGUGUUGUUGACUAAUAUUAGCCGACUUGACCAAAGAGACCUUUACUAGACUCUGGCAUUGGACUAGUGGCUAAAGUCAUGAUUUUGGCAAAAUACAUUCUGAAAAGAAUUCAGUUUGUGGUCAAGAUGCUGAAAUUAUCUGUUUCUCAAGCAUUUUGUUCAGCUGACCAGGGCACAGUUAUCCAGGUUAGAAAGAAAAAGGGUGAACUGGGUGCACCCUUGACUUUCAUGGAACCUAUAAACAGGCGCAAAAGAUUAAUAUUUUGGAACAUGGGUAUUUCUUUUUCCCUGAAUACCGGUCUUAAUGUCUCUCCACAAUUCCAUGAUUAGUUAAUUAGCUCUGUAAGGGUACACUUGUCAUGGGUUCGAAUCUCAGAUGUGCCCCAGUGUGGCUUCUUGACUUGUCAGCAGUGUAUCUGUACUCACAGGUUUCACCAAAGAGAGAAACGUCUUGGACCAUCAUCACUUUGGGCUUUCCUCCAACAUUAAGCUGACACCCUGUGACAUUACCAAUUUUUGUUCAAAUAGCAUUAUACAUACAGGUCUCUCAGACAGCAGUAAUCCGCAUGUUCGGUGUGAAAUCAUCUUAGCACUGCUUUGUUCCCACUGUAAUAUCUGCAAAUACCCAUUUUCUGUUAAAGCGUUUGUUUGUUAUGCCAAAGACCCAAGUUCGAUUCCCCACAUCGGUACAAUGUGUGAAGCCCAUUGCUAAAAGCAUCGUAAACCUAAACUCACUAAAUCAUACCCCAUUGUCUGUUAGGGUGGGUGAUUUUCUGACUGUUAGAUGGAUAGGAUAAAACAUCACUCCAAUAUUUGAGUUUGGGUAAAACCCAAAGGAUGCAAUGACUGAGCUAGUAAAAGUAAGGGCAUUAGCCCAAUUUACCUGGUAAGGCCAUCCCUGCCCAAAGGUUUUACUAUGUCUACAAAAAUCAAGGAGGUCUGUUUUGUCAAAGUUUGGUCUAAAUGGAAAAAAAAACAUUUAAGGAUAUUUGUUUGAUAUCAUAAGAGUGUAAAGAAACACUCAUAAAAUAUAUCUGCUUAAGAAAUGCUUGCUGAACAUUGUACCGUAUUAUGAACUGCUCUGUAUUACAUGCUCUGUGGACUUAUGUUCAGAGAGAGAGAGAGAGAGAGAGCCUCACUCCAUACCCAAAAUGAAAAAGAAUAAUUUCUUGCCAUUAAUUUAUAACAUUAAAUGUUGGAAAACUCCACCUGCUGCUCUGCUCGUGGGGUGUUACUGGUAAAAGUAUAUCUUACUUAAUGGUCAGUAUCUGUGAUAGGUUCAUAAGCUUGACCCUUGCCUCACCCAUUGCCUUUGAAUCUGAUGCAUGUUUUUAAGUGUGUCAGUUCAUGUGUCCAAUUAUUGUCAUCCAAAUGCAACAAAUGAAGUCCACACAUGGGGGUCUUGCACUGUGUAAUUGUACAUAGCUUUGUUGGCAUUUCCAGUGUGAAUAGCAGGUGACUGCAGAAAAUGGUCCGGGUGGAUAGAUUGGGAUGAGAGCAUGCUGACCUUUGAACAAUAACCUAUUGGCAGUGUUUGAAAUUAACAUUUUGACGGCCACAACGAGUAUACUCGUAGAAUCAAUGUCUGGCCCAAUUUGCCACAAUGAGUUAUCUCGUAGCUAUAUCAGUGGUAUUUUAAAACAAGUUUCACAUGUUGGCAAAACAGGCACGAGAAGCAAUCGUCACCUGGCGGUAACCAAGAACACCAAGAAACGUUUAUUUCUUGUGUCUAUUUUGCCAACAUGUGAAACUUGUUUCAAAAUACCACUGAUGUAGCUAUGGGGUAACUCGUAGAGGCAAAUUCAGCCAGAAUUGAUACUACGAGUAUACUUGUGAUAGGCAGUCAACGUGUUAAAUAGGAUCCAAGGCCCAGUUUCACAGUACGAUCUCAGCAUUUAGGUGAUCGAACCUUUCAUACUUUAACAUUGGCCUGAGAUCAACGUAGUACUGAAAGCAUUUGUGGAAUAGGGUACUGGGGUCCGUGAAAUUUGCAUUCUUAGUAUUUGAAUCUUAGACUCUUUCCUCCUUCAACAUAACUUCAUUUAUAACUUUAAUCAGGUUAUGACAAAGAUCCCUUUACUUGGAAACUUACUUUCAAACACAGCUGGGUCCAUGUUCAGCGAACCACAGCUGGGUUCUGUUGAUGGGAUGGAGAGCUGGGUUAGAAUUGGUCUUGAGCAACCCUUUUUGGUUGUAAGAGGUGACUAUCAUGAUCGGGUGAUCAGGCUCUACUGACUUGGUUGAUGCAUGUCAUCGUAACCCGAUUGCAUAGAUUGAUGUUCAUGAUGUCAAUCACUGGAUUGUCUAGUCCAGACAUGAUUCUUUACAGAACACCAUCAUGUAGCUGGAAUAUGCGGAGUUCAACAACAAAGGAACUCUUACAGUUUGUCAAUAAUAUUGCUGACGAUAUGAAAUAUGUUAUGAAACCCCAAUGAGUCAUUUCACAUAUUGGUAUGAUCUCAAUCCUUAUCACCUAUUACAACAGGAAUUUAAUGCUCAGGAUCUAGUGUUCACUCCUUAUAUAAUCAAAACGCGUGAAAUCACAUGGCACAGGGUCUCACAUAUUUUCAGGCAAUGUGAGCAGUUUGCAGCAACUCACAAAGUCUAGUCCAUUUUAUGGACCUGGGAUAUGCUGUGAUAAUGUCUCUGUUAAAAAAGUGAAAAUGGGCAGGGAUUGUUGUAAUAGAAAUAUGAUGUACAGAAAUGGUUAGGGAUCAUGAAUAGUAUUUUGUUUUGUAGUGAAGCCUGAGCAUACAAUUACAUAGAAAAAAUAAAUCCCCCGAAAAAGUCAUGAUACUUUUGUUGUUCAGCCUUGCAACUUCUAUUUUGUUUCUGAUUCAUGAUUUGGAGUAGUCAUAAUUCUGUAAAUUUCCCUUAUUCCAAUGCAUCAAUACUAUUGGUUGAUAACUUACUUGAUUAAAUGCUACUUUAGGAGCAUCGGGGAUGGGAUUUUCGAAGUUGAGAUAUACAUGUAACAUGCAAAUUACCCACAUGUUGGAGCAUCAUUGCCAAUAGAUAUCCCAGGUGACUAAGUUUGUAAUGAAGAAAUGAUAUAUUUGUUUAAUUAAAUGGUUUUAAAUACUUUGAAAUGGCAACAAGCCGUUUCUGUGCAUGUAGUAAUCAUUGUUAAUAUACAACUGAUAUUUGACACAAUAUCCAAGGAGUUAGCAUACAUUAUUGAAUCUGCGUAGACAGUAUUGUUAGACAUUUGUAACUUAUCAACUGUACAGUUCUAAUAAUUAAAAUGCUCGUAUGAAUGUCUGUGUAAAUGUGAUGUCCUCCUUCAUGUCGACCUUGUCAAACAUCAUAUUAUACUCUUGCUAUGAGCAGUUAUCCAAAUGUAUAUAUAUCAUGCAAAUAUUGUAAAUAAACAUCAAUCAAAUCUU